AUUUCGUGAUGAAGGCACUUCUGUAAUAAUUCUUUGUACCUUUCCAAUACCUCAUACAAGGACUCAUCAUCCAAUUGUUCAAAAGUAGUGAUCUCGUUCCUCAACUU
rfam:Gossypium hirsutum cultivar TM-1 chromosome 15, whole genome shotgun sequence